AUUAAAGAAACAUUUUUGGGCAUGAUUCCACGAAAGUACUUAUUAACCGCUAUUAAACGCUGACACAAAAUUUUAAAGCGCGCACAAAAUGAAAUCGUGAAAAAGUAGUCAAGAAACAUUUUCAAUGUUUUGAUUUAACAUCGGAUUCGUAAAAACAUCGACGAACAACGAUGUUUGAAGCCACGACCAUCGAUGUUGCUCGAUACAUCGAUGUUUUUUUACGACCCUAAUAUAAACGCAAAAGAAAUGAUAUAAAUAUGUCAAAAUUCAAUUAUGAGAACAUUCAUUUAAUUGUUGUGGAGAAAAGCUAGUCGUUAGAAAAUCGGUUUGUGCAAGAAAUAAGUAAUUGCAAUUAUUUCAUAUAAUUUCUACGCCAGAGGUUUUCAGUGUUAUAAAUUGAGUACGUGACGAUGACGAUAACUACGAAACUGUGAAAAGCGAAUUUGUGAAAAUGCGAACGAAAUCAACAAACGCAGUAGAUUGAAUAGAUUAUUAUGUACAUAUAAUCUCGCAGCUUAAAUUGCAGCAGUAUUUAUUAAAUUAUAACGCGCAAAGUGCGUAAUUUCAGUAUUUUAGGAGAAAAAGUAAACAACUCUAAAAUUAGUUGGUUGAAGAGGCAAAGACAAUCGACAAUUGAAAACAGCGGCCACAACUGUCGUUGAAGUGGAUUGUGUGCAGUUGAAUAAAAUAGUAAAAAACUUUUAAAGUAAGAAAACUAAUUUGGUUUUAUUAAAAAUGAAUCUCUCAUUUGCUGGAUGUGGUUUCUUGGGAAUAUAUCAUGUGGGUGUGGCAGUAUGUUUCAAAAAAUAUGCACCACAUCUGCUUGAGAAAAUUGGAGGCGCGUCAGCGGGUGCACUAUCUGCGUGCUGCUUACUUUGUGAUUUGCCGUUAGGCAGUAUGACAUCUGACUUUUUUCGUGUGGUUAAUGAGGCUCGCCGUCAUUCGCUCGGACCUUUCAGUCCCUCAUUUAAUAUACAAACUUGCUUGUUUGAAGGUUUACAAAAGCAUUUGCCAGAGGAUGCGCAUAAACGGGUCAAUGGGCGCUUACAUAUUUCGUUAACGCGAGUUCAUGAUGGUAAAAAUGUCAUCGUUUCCGAAUUCAAUUCGCGCGAUGAACUCUUGCAAGCUUUGCUGUGCGCCUGCUUCAUUCCAGGCUUCUCAGGCAUAUUCCCACCUCGGUUUCGUGGAGUGCGGUAUAUGGAUGGAGCUUUUUCAGACAACUUGCCAAUUCUGGAUGAGAACACAAUUACUGUAAGCCCCUUCUGUGGUGAGAGUGAUAUUUGUCCACGUGAUCAAAGUUCUCAACUCUUCCAUUUGAAUUGGGCUAAUACCAGCAUUGAAAUAUCUCGGCAGAAUGUUAAUCGUUUCGUCCGAAUUUUGUUUCCACCGCGGCCGGAAUUUCUUUCGAAAUUCUGUCAGCAAGGGUUCGACGAUGCAAUGCAGUUCCUUCAUCGUAAUAAUUUAAUAAAUUGUCGUCGUUGUGUAGCUGUGCAAUCGACAUUUGUAGUAUCAGAGACAGUGGCACAACCUCAGGACUUUGAUCCUGAAUGCAGAGAAUGCAAAAAGCAUAGAAAUGACGCUUUAAGCUCAAACAUGCCACAGACUGUAUUGGAUGUCAUUCAAGAUUAUAUCGAACAAGCUAAUAAAGGCUUGGCCAAUUGGAUAUUUAAGCACCGAGGAAUAAAACUGCUGUCCCUGCCAGCAACAGUACCUAUGGAUUUCUUCUUGGCCACAGUAUCGAAGAUUACUAAACUUACACCAAAACUGAGCAAACACGUUCGCGUGAGGAUAGAAAAUAUUUUAAGGCAAUUAAAUAACACAGUGCAGACCCGCAUUUUAAGCAAUUUUACGAUUUGCGAACCGCCUCAUUUCGAUACGACUGGCUUACUUCAUUCCAACCGUCUAUAUGGGCCAAGGGUAUCGAUAUUAGUUGAUGAGUGUGGUGCUCCUUCCAUUGAAGGUGAUGUGGACAACUAUGAGCAUGUUCUUAGAGUAACCACUCACAAUGAUGCACUUUACGCUUACUAUUAUACAGAUGACCUUACGAACAAAGUUAAAGUUACAGAAAUUUUCGAAAUUGAUUAUGACGAACAACUUGCAACCGAUCCGAAAUUAUACGAAGGCAAAGUUGAAGAUCACCCGAAUCCCCAUCAACAUCACCACAAUGUUGUUAGUGAAUGGAACGGCGUAGAAUCAGUACAAGUUAUACCCAGCAAGCCUGAAAAUCGAGAAGAUAUUUUUUAAAACAAACGCUAAUUAUUUUUAAUUUUUUAAACACAUGCGAAAACUUUGUAGACCAAAAAUUGUUGAAUGUUUUAGAUAUUACAUGAUGAACAGCCUUUUAUAUUGAUGAACUACCUUUCGAAUGGGAUUUCACAGAUUCCACAUCCAAAAGUUCGACAAAAACUGUUCAUACUGCAUACCAGAUAGACAAAUGUGAAGCCAUUGAUGGUGCUAAUAUUGGAUUAGAAAUCGAAACUGGUGCUUUCAGAGAAGUGGAUCACUAUUUUGCCAAACAACAGCAAAGAAGCAAGAACAUUCAGCACAACACCUAUCAAUAUCUUUAACCGAACAACGUUCGGUAGCUACAAAUUGGGAUUGAUAUUCCCAUUCCAAGAGAAAGGCGAUUGCGGUGACAUGGAAAAUUCAUUUUAUGUACAUACAUAUACUAAUGUUUUAACUUAUUGAGAUUUUUCAUUACUUGCCUAUAGUUAUUUAAAUACACACAGACGUUAUUUAAAUACGUACGGUCAUUAUACAUGUAUAUUUUCUACAUAAGAUAAUUGCGAAAUCCUUCAGGAAAUACCAUUUUUUCGCUAAUUUUGAUUUGAGAGCGUUGAUUUUGAAAAUUAACAAUUUAUAUUGAAUCAGUUAUCAUGAUUAAAUGAAAACAGCCUUAAUUUACAAUGAAA
rnacentral:misc_RNA from 1 species